rnacentral:rRNA from 1 species
CCUACGGGAGGCUGCAGUGAGGAAUAUUGGUCAAUGGACGAGAGUCUGAACCAGCCAAGUAGCGUGAAGGAUGACUGCCCUAUGGGUUGUAAACCUCUUUUAUCAAGGAAUAAAACGCGGCACGUGUGCCUUUUUGCAUGUACCUUAUGAAUAAGGAUCGGCUAACUCCGUGCCAGCAGCCGCGGUAAUACGGAGGAUCCGAGCGUUAUCCGGAUUUAUUGGGUUUAAAGGGAGCGUAGAGGGGUUGUUAAGUCCGGUGUUAAAGUUUGCGGCUCAACCGUAAAAUUGCAGUUGAUACUGGCGGUCUUGAGUGCGGUUGAGGUAGGCGGAAUGCGUGGUGUAGCGGUGAAAUGCUUAGAUAUCACGAAGAACCCCGAUUGCGAAGGCAGCAUACUAAACUGUGACUGACAUUGAUGCUCGAAAGUGUGGGUAUCGAACAGGAUUAGAUACCCGGGUAGUC